rnacentral:rRNA from 1 species
CUACGGGUCGCACCAGUGGGGAAUCUUGGACAAUGGGCGCAAGCCUGAUCCAGCCAUGCCGCGUGAGUGAAGAAGGCCUUAGGGUCGUAAAGCUCUUUCGCCAGAGAUGAUAAUGACAGUAUCUGGUAAAGAAACCCCGGCUAACUCCGUGCCAGCAGCCGCGGUAAUACGGAGGGGGUUAGCGUUGUUCGGAAUUACUGGGCGUAAAGCGCGCGUAGGCGGAUUAGUCAGUCAGAGGUGAAAUCCCAGGGCUCAACCCUGGAACUGCCUUUGAUACUGCUAGUCUUGAGGUCGAGAGAGGUGAGUGGAAUUCCGAGUGUAGAGGUGAAAUGCGUAGAUAUUCGGAGGAACACCAGUGGCGAAGGCGGCUCACUGGCUCGUUACUGACGCUGAGGUGCGAAAGUGUGGGGAGCAAACAGGAUUAGAUACCCCGGUAGUC